ensembl:lncRNA
CAUGCUGUGCCACAUGAGAACCAGUUCUCUCGGCACCUGGUGUGGACGUGCCACCAUUCAACCCUUCCCCUGGGCCAUGCGUGCAGUGUGAGCUGCAGAGCCACUGCGAGCGGGAUCCUCUGAGCGGUGGGUGAAGACAGCCAAAGUGCCGGCAGGUAGAGCUAUUUUCAAUAGGAGCCCAUCUACGCACUCAAGCAGAACGCUCCUUAGUUCCCAGUUCAUGUGGCUUGCUUAACUGCAGCGCCUUUCACACUGCCACAGUCUUAUCUCCAGAUCUGUGUCCAUGACGAGGACAGCAGGCCCACGGGCCCACCAGCCCAAAAAGGUGGGGAAAGCGGGAAAGGGAACAAAGGGAAUGAGGGGGGGAAAAAAAAAAGUGUCAACGGUCUGAGGAGGAAAACAAACCUAGUUUAAAAUUAUAAUAGUGAAAAUACAAGUCAGUUGGGAUUGAAGCUAAUACAUCACUUACAUGAGUUUCUGAAGACCGAGGUUCUUCCUCUGAUCUGCCAGGGAGCAAAGAGAACUACUCUCAUGACUUCCACUCAGAUUUAUCUUUCCCACCAACCGGAAAACAGAAAUGCAACAGGGAAGUCUUCUGGGGGCUGUCGUACAUUUCAUCCCUUCUGAGACAGGUAAACGGAACUGUCGACAAUCCACAGAACUGCAGCAUUAACUUUCCAACUCCCAGUGCACUGCAUGAAGCUAUCACGUGGAGAACCGAUAACAAAAACCGUAACAUCACGACACACACGCAUGGAUAAACUGUGCAAUACUAUCCACUAAGCACACUGCCAGGGGUCCGGCGUAGGGGGUGGAGGUCACUGUCCU